GUUGGUGAACCAGCGGAGGGAUCAUUAGCGAGUUCUAAACUCCCAACCCUCGUGGACAUACCAUCGUUGCUUCGGCGGGGCACCCUAAGCUUAGGGCGCGGCUCCCACUGGGGGCACCCGCCGAAGGCACGCAAAACAAACACUGCCUUCUGGAGAAUUCUGAGUAAACUACAAAUAAGUUAAAAACUUUCAGCAACGGAUCUCUUGGUUCUGGCAUCGAUGAAGAACGCAGCAUCUGACUGACUUCGCU
rnacentral:misc_RNA from 1 species